AUCAGUAAAAGUUUUGAGUUUCUUCUUCUUCAGUUCGGAGCUUACAAGACCAGAGUCAGAUUAUCUGCUACAAAAUUGAAAGAGCUAUGGAAGGUGAGAAUGUGUCAACCCAGCCGGAGGUUCCAGGGGAGCCAACUCAGGCCAGCACUGCCCUUCUCGAAACUGCCACCGCCACUCUUCAGGGCUUUGGUCCUGUUAACAAAAUCCACCAGCACCUCUGCGCAUUCCAUUUCUAUGCGCAUGACAUGACAAGGCAAGUGGAGGCACACCACUUUUGCGGGCAUCAAAAUGAGGAUUUCAGGCAGUGUUUGAUAUAUGAUAAGCCUGAUGAUGAUGGCAAACUCAUUGGCUUAGAGUACAUAAUCUCUGAGGAAUUAUUCUUGACAUUGCCUGAUAAUGAGAAGCCCUUUUGGCACACUCACGAGUUCGAGGUAAAGGGUGGCUACCUCUUCAUGCCUGGUGUUCCUGGCCCUAUUCAAAGGCAAGAUCUUGAAAAGGUUUGCAAAACCUAUGGCAAAACUAUCCACUUUUGGCAAAUUGAUAGAGGUGAUAGUCUCCCUCUUGGAAUUCCUCAGGUUAUGAUGGCACUUACUAGGGAUGGCCAGCUCUAUCCCAAUCUUGCCCAAGAUGUGGAGAGUCGUUUUGGCAUCUCAUUUGCCAAGGAGAGGGAAAACCGGGCAUACAUGACUGGACCCGCUCAUGCGUUGCAUCCCCUUGGAAAUGCAGCCGGUAGAGGGUUGCAGACUGUACUGAGAGAAGUUGAUUGCAAACCGGUUGAAUCAGUUCCAAGCGUCUUUGUCUAAUUGUCUAAAGUUAGAACUUAGAAGUACUGUCAUGACCUUUUUGUCAACAAGGCCACCUUGGACAGGAGGAUAUUUUGUAAUUAUGGAAUAGAACAGGCCCGGUAGGGGGUUUGAAUAGGGGACAGAGAUCAUAGUUAAGUGGUGCUCUACUGGACUUGUUAUAAUUCCAUGGUUGACGGAAUGUCAUCAGAUUUUGAACAAGUGGCUACCGAACCUGCUCCCGAGAGCAAACUGUAUCCUUUUACUUGACAUGUUAAAUAUCCAGUGGUUGGUUGUACGAAGUGUUAUUACUCAUUUUCUUGACUUAUUAUGCUCGCUAGUUUGCUACUUUGAUACUUGCAGUUUUAAAUAAUGGUCAACUUGCU